UUACUCCCUACAGCAUGGCAUAAAGCACACGUUGCCUUUGCUUGUGGCAAAGUUGCCUGCCACUCAGACUCGUUUUAGUUACACCAUAACUCAGGUUGCUGCUGCUUGCCACUGGCAGGGGCAAGCAGGAGGGGCAGGCUGACCUUCAGCAGCUUCCACAGGAAUGCUUCCAGUUUGCCCACGGUGAGAACGAGGGCUUUAAACACCAGGCUGCCAGGGAGCCAGUGAAGGCUGGCUUUGGAGUUUACAGAUCCCCAGUUCUGAAGAUGUUCAGAGCCACAGCUGUCCUAAGAGACCUCUGAAGAUGGAAAACAGCAAUGCAGGCUCUGGAGUCUUAUUUUGCCUUGAAAGGUGAGACCCGGGACGUGCUCCUCAGGAAGGUGGGAACCAGCCUGCAGGCUACUGGGGCCAGACCGCCUAUCUUCGGCUGAACCUGGCUGCAGGUUAGGGCUGCAGGUUUCCAGAAGAAACGCAAAGAAUCAGACGCGGCCGAUAAGUGAAGUAAACAGGGUCCGAACACCAUGGCAACAAGAGCAAAUUCCUACCUACCUGCUCUUAUAUAUGUCCUCUCAAGCUUGCUGCAGCGUUACCCUGCUGCUUGACAGUGUGUGCUUUCUGCUGUGGGGUGCAACAGCAUGAACACUAUCAAAGUUAUUUUGCCCUCGAGCAACCAUAAUCUGCACGGGGCUCUGUUUGACUGUGCUCCUUACUAUAAAGAACUGCAGUACUUCUAUGAACAGCCCUUAAAAGAUAUAAUCAACCUUUCUUUUUUUUAAAAAGAACGCUUCUGUGACUUUCAAAUGUGCUAUAAUUAUGUGAUACUUAAAAUGAUUUCAAAUAAAACAAUUCUAUAAAUAAAUAAUUCCUGAUUUUUUGUUGUUGUUUUCUAUAUGGUUUGAGCAGCACUUUGCACUUCUGUUUGUGUCGCUUUUCAAUGCAAUAGCAAAAGAAAGGGAAACUUGGA